AUUGAACGCUGGCGGUAGGCCUAACACAUGCAAGUCGAACGCGAAAGUCCUUCGGGAUGAGUAGAGUGGCGGACGGGUGAGUAACGCGUAGGAAUCUAUCCUGUAGUGGGGGAUAACGUUUCGAAAGGAACGCUAAUACCGCAUACGCCCCACGGGGGAAAGCGGGGGAUCUUCGGACCUCGUGCUAUAGGAGGAGCCUGCGUCGGAUUAGCUAGUUGGUGAGGUAAAGGCUCACCAAGGCGACGAUCCGUAGCUGGUCUGAGAGGAUGAUCAGCCACACCGGAACUGAGACACGGUCCGGACUCCUACGGGAGGCAGCAGUGGGGAAUAUUGCGCAAUGGGCGAAAGCCUGACGCAGCCAUACCGCGUGUGUGAAGAAGGCCUUCGGGUUGUAAAGCACUUUCAGUGGGGAGGAAAAGCUGGUGGCUAAUAUCCACCGGCCGUGACGCUACCCACAGAAGAAGCACCGGCUAAUUCCGUGCCAGCCGCCGCUGUAA
rnacentral:rRNA from 1 species